rnacentral:rRNA from 1 species
AAGUCGUAACAAGGUCUCCGUUGGUGAACCAGCGGAGGGAUCAUUAUCGAGUGUUACAACUCCCAAACCCUAUGUGAACCUUACCUACUGUUGCUUCGGCGGGACCGCCCCGGUGCCUCUGUGCGCCGGAACCAGGCGCCCGCCGGGGGACCAAAACUCUUGAUUGUCUUAGUGGUAUUCUCUCUGAGUGGCACAAGCAAAAUAAAAUUAAAACUUUCAACAACGGAUCUCUUGGUUCUGGCAUCGAUGAAGAACGCAGCGAAAUGCGAUAAGUAAUGUGGAUUGCAGAAUUCAGUGAAUCAUCGAAUCUUUGAACGCACAUUGCGCCCGCUAGUAUUCUGGCGGGCAUGCCUGUUCGAGCGUCAUUUCAACCCUCGAGCCCCUCCGGGCUUGGUGUUGGGGAUCGGCUGCCGUCUCCGGCCGGCCGACCCCGAAAUACAGUGGCGGUCCCGCCGCAGCGUCCUCUGCGUAGUAGCACACACCUCGCACUGGAACGCGGCGCUGCCACGCCGUAAAGCAAAGGGGCGCACGCCUCUUUCUCUUUCAAGGUUGACCUCGGAUCAGGUAGGAAUACCCGCUGAACUUAA